rnacentral:rRNA from 1 species
CCAGACUCCUACGGGAGGCAGCAGUGGGGAAUAUUGCACAAUGGGGGAAACCCUGAUGCAGCAACGCCGCGUGAAGGAAGACGGUUUUCGGAUUGUAAACUUCUAUCAAUAGGGAAGAAAGAAAUGACGGUACCUAAAUAAGAAGCCCCGGCUAACUACGUGCCAGCAGCCGCGGUAAUACGUAGGUGGCAAGCGUUGUCCGGAUUUACUGGGUGUAAAGGGCGUGUAGCCGGGCUGACAAGUCAGAUGUGAAAUCCGGGGGCUCAACCCCCGAACUGCAUUUGAAACUGUUGGUCUUGAGUAUCGGAGAGGCAGGCGGAAUUCCUAGUGUAGCGGUGAAAUGCGUAGAUAUUAGGAGGAACACCAGUGGCGAAGGCGGCCUGCUGGACGACAACUGACGGUGAGGCGCGAAAGCGUGGGGAGCAAACAGGAUUAGAUACCCCGGUAGAG